rnacentral:lncRNA from 1 species
CAAUAACAAACCAAGCCGCGGCGGUGUCCGCGGCCCUGCCGAGCCCUCGGCGUUGCCUCAGAAUCCCCCAGUCGCCUGGGCCCCUCGGCUCUGACAGGCCGCGGCCUUCUGUCCCCCGGCCCCAGACCCAGAGCCGAGGGGCCUGCUCGCGUCCUUGUCCGCCCGGACCCCUCCCUGCCUCCUAGAGUUCGGGGCCGCGGCGGGCGGGCGCCCGGGACGCCGGCGGUUGUGUCGGCUUAGCGGUGCCGAAUGGGCGGUUGGUAACCGCUGCCGAGGACUAGGCGGCGGCGGAAGAUGGUGCCGGGGGUCGCUGGCUCUGCUGCUGCCGCCGGCGAAGGAGGAGGCGUUGCCGGUUUUCUGAGUUUAACCAGUAAUGCCAUUCAGUUGCCAAUCUCAAGCAAAGCAAACAUAAGCCAGUUUUAAUCUACUUUUUAAGAAAAGUGGUAGUCCUUUUCACAGUGCCUGACGUGUGGCAGACCUUAAGCAUGCCAUUCAAAGCAAAUACAAGAUUGCUAUUCAACACCAGGUGCUGGUGGUCAAUGGAGGAGAAUGCAUGGCUGCAGAUCGAAGAGUGUGUACCUACAGUGCUGGGACGGAUACAAAUCCAAUUUUUCUUUUUAACAAAGAAAUGAUCUUAUGUGAUCGUCCACCUGCUAUUCCUAAAACUACCUUUUCGACAGAAAAUGACAUGGAAAUAAAAGUUGAAGAAUC